rnacentral:lncRNA from 1 species
AGGCUAAUAGUAGAAAGAAUCUGCUCUUUGUCAAAUAUGGAAUUAUAAAAUACAACUUUGCAUCUCUAGUAACAUCAAAACCAAAGUGAAGGUAGGAAAAAGAAAUUGAUUGCAUAUGACUAGCAGCAAUUGAUAUAAAGCUACUCAAUAUGUUAAUGGAUCUCUGUACUGAAUUUUCAUCCACUCUUUAGGAAUUCUCAUUUAGUGUGUGAUACUUCUGAAUAUUGUAUUUAGGGAUAUUUCAUUAAGGUUGGAUUGUUUACAACUUGAAACUCUGUAAAUAUCUUGUUCCUGAUGAAUCUUUCAAAGAGGAGAAUAUAACUUUCCUGUGGAGAAGACCCAAAGUUCCACUUUAAU